rnacentral:rRNA from 1 species
CCGGGAGAGACACCGGGAUUGCCCCAGUAACGGCGAGUGAAGCGGCAAGAGCUCAAAUUUGAAAUCUGGCCCCUCCGGGGUCCGAGUUGUAAUUUGCAGAGGAUGCUUCGGGUGCGGCCCCUGUCUAAGUGCCCUGGAACGGGCCGUCAGAGAGGGUGAGAAUCCCGUCUUGGGCAGGGUGCCCGUGCCCGUGUGAAGCUCCUUCGACGAGUCGAGUUGUUUGGGAAUGCAGCUCUAAAUGGGUGGUAAAUUUCAUCUAAAGCUAAAUACCGGCCGGAGACCGAUAGCGCACAAGUAGAGUGAUCGAAAGAUGAAAAGCACUUUGAAAAGAGAGUUAAACAGCACGUGAAAUUGUUGAAAGGGAAGCGCUUGCGACCAGACUCGGCCUCGGGGUUCAGCCAGCAUUCGUGCUGGUGUACUUCCCCGGGGCCGGGCCAGCGUCGGUUCGGGCGGCCGGUCAAAGGCCCCAGGAAUGUAUCGUCCUCCGGGACGUCUUAUAGCCUGGGGUGCAAUGCGGCCAGCCUGGACCGAGGAACGCGCUUCGGCACGGACGCUGGCGUAAUGGUCACAAACGACCCGUCUUGAAACACGGACCAAGGAGUCUAACAUCUACGCGAGUGUUCGGGUGUCAAACCCGUACGCGCAGUGAAAGCGAACGGAGGUGGGAGCCCCUUUGGGGCGCACCAUCGACCGAUCCUGAAGUCUUCGGAUGGAUUUGAGUACGAGCGUAGCUGUGGGGACCCGAAAGAUGGUGAACUAUGCCUGAAUAGGGUGAAGCCAGAGGAAACUCUGGUGGAGGCUCGCAGCGGUUCUGACGUGCAAAUCGAUCGUCAAAUU